rnacentral:tRNA from 1 species
GGGCGGCUAGCUCAGCUGGCAGAGCACCUGGAUCACAACCAGGGGGUCACAGGUUCAAGUCCUGUGCCGCCCACCA